UCUCUGCUCGAAAAAAGCCCGCCACGAGCAGGCGAGCAUCGACGUUCUUCUCCGCUGCGAAGCGAUAUUACGUCCCUUUCUUGCAAUCAUCUCUCGUCAGACUUCUUCGUCUCAUUCAGAAUCCAUUUACACAUUUCCGUGGAAAAAAUCAUACUAGGAACGAACUUUGGAGAAUUUAAUUGGAACGUGUUCUCGACCGAAUCAGUCGGUCCCAGGAGAACUCGGGAGCGCACACUCCUGACGUUUCUUCCCCCGUCGUUUCAGUCAGCCGCGGGCAACCGUCGCGGUGUCACGUGUUUUCGUAUCGUCAUCGUGUAUACUUGCAAUUAACCAGCAAUUAACAAAAAUCAGCGGUAUCCAAUUUUACUUUGAAGAAUUAUUCGCUGUGAAAUUACUGCCACUUAACGAACGAUGUUAUCGAAUAAAGUUCAAUUAAACUUUAAAUAAACAUUUGGAAUAAAUUUCCAUAUAUAGACUGUAGAAUUUUCGUCGUCGCGAUUAAUAAAUUCGAAAGAGCUUCGUGCACGAUCGUUUUCUGUUUAUUCUUCUUCGCUCGCUCCUGUCUCCCCAUUGGACGGCUCGCUCGUGAUCGCCACGUGGUCGUGUCGCGAUCGAUCAGUGGUGCAUCCUAUAACCGGCCGAGAAGGAACGAGCACGACGUGGUGCCGCGAACCGGAGAUAAGCGAAGAGGAUCACUCGGAACUGGUGCUGCUAGGAAAACGUCCUGCCAGCCAGAACGUUCGCAUAUCGGGUGAUCGGUUGAUGCGAACGGAGAAGACCUGGACGGGCUGUUACGCACGAAAAGCCGAAAGUUAGACAUUAAACCUUCCACCUUUCGCGUUCGUUUGCACGACCUACAGGCACAGAUGCGUCGGCCGUUGUGCAGUGGGAAUGUUCUACAACCCUUGGAAAGACACUCUGGAACCGGUUCGAACGCCCGGAGACCGAUGUGCCGGUGCGUCGCUGCUCUCUCCAUCCGCCGCUUGUUUCGAGUCUGGCCUGGAUGAAUAUGACAAGGUCAUUUCUCUUGUUUAAUCCACGUAAUUAGUUUGCGCCUUUUCCCGCCCUCUGCCUGCCAUGCAAAUCGAUAACUUCUUUCUGUUGUUUUUUUAACCAGGCGACAUCACACAGCUUUGGUACUCGAAAACGAUUUCAGAACAGAAACUGUUAUCUUAGACCAUUCUUUUUUUUUUUUCAUAAACAAAUCCGUGUUUCAACAUUUGAAUGACGUACGUUGUUGCUAAAGUUCGACUAUUCAUUUCUUCUUGUUGUAACAAAUGAACACAUGGAAAUAAGUAAUUUGUUUUCGGAGCUUGAACAUUAAUCGUGUAUUUAUAUAAUGAAAUUGAGAAAUUCUGAUAAAAAGUGGAGUUGACCGGCACGACUUCUGAGCAGCUCAUUUAUUACCGGCAGUCUGGCAAUUGAAUUUCAGAUAAUUAAUAUAAAGCAACGUGUGCAUCGAUAGCAGCAAAUAUGUUAAACUUUAAGAGGUAUCGUUAUUCAAUCGAACAGUAGGCAAAUGAAAAUAUCGAUCCUUUUUGAGAUUGGAAUUUCGUUAAGAAACUCAUUACCGUUCACGACAAGCACGAAAACGUACUGUUCGAGAAGCUGGCCAAGAGGUCGAGGUAGCUUCGGCAAUGAAUUAAGGUCGCGACAUUAAUCCUGGUCGGGGUAGCGGCCAUGCUAUCACGACAUGUCGUAAAUAACCGCGGAGGGACGGUGGGCACGGGGCGGGACAGAGGGUAAAAAGAUUUCUAAAGAAAUGUAAAUUAAGGAAUAAAUUGAUCCGUGCUGCUCGGUACCAGCGACACUCGCCUCUAACUGGCCGCAACGAGUGGCUCCUUAAGCGGGCCGCGUGCGCCGCUUCUUGAAUGCGGUUCGAUCGAACGGUCACGCAAAAAAUUAAUUUCGUUACCUCGGCCCCGUGCACGCUUGUAGAUUGUGUCGCAUUGCGACGUAAUGGUCUCUGAUACAACGAUUGAUAAGCUUACAAGAUAACCUUUCUUCGAUAAGACUAACAGGCUUACUUGAUAUUCGAGUCUCUCCCUCUGAAAUGAAGCCUCGUCAUAAUAGAAGCAUAAAUAAAACGGCAGAAAGAAAAAAAGAAAAGAAAACAGGGGGGAAAAAGAAGAAGAAAUUCAUUAUUCACGAAACAACGAAAAAUGGACGAAACAACGCCAGCGGAUUUCCAGAGAGCGCCUUUUAGGGAUGAGAAGCACAGUCGGUACAGCAGGUAGCUGCAGCAGAAUCAUACUAGGUCACGUUUUCAUCAAGGCCUCAAGGUGCGGACGAGGAUCCGGGAAGAAAAGAGAGGAAAGGACGAGCGAAAAGAACGGGCAUACAGAUAGGGGUUGAACACACCAUUGUUUUUCGACACACUUUCUCUCGGCCUGGCCCUCUCGAAGACAAUGCGUGCCUUACUUUUAACCCUCUCUAUCGUGCUUAGUCCGAUGGCCAUCGCGACUCGUUCUUCUUUCUCCCUUGGCUGGUAUGUCGCUGUGCUCAUUAAGUAAAUCACCGUAAUGGUGGCUCAUCACCCGGGCCAAAGUGAAAAUUCACUCGCGGACAGGACUCGGGAUCUCGAUCCUCGAAGGAAUUCCUCUUCGUCGUUGUUUCGGCUUCCGGAAAUUCGAGCUGGAAAAAUUACAGCAACGCGUUCGCCAGUAGGGACGCUUUGUUCUUGCUCGUUGAAGUUCGCGUGUUUAAGACGUUCGUCGUGGAACCUUGUACGGUAUUUAUGUAUAAGGUGUCGCAGAAGUAUAGGUCGAUUAAGUAAUAGGCGAUGAAAAGAUGAGAUCUUAUUUUUUGUGUAUAUUGUUUGAUCUUGUAGUAUUUUUAGUAAAUGCGAUAGAAGCCUAUAAGAUUCAUAACUAAUUGCAGGAUUGAUUACAAUAGACUAAUCUAUCUUAAACCUUCUGUAUUAAAAAAUAAAACGAAAUCGUUUACUAGAAAAAAAAAAAAAAAAAAUGUUUCUUCAUCAUAUUUUGCUACAUCUUCCUCGAUUGACCAGUUGUUAUGAAACACUUUGUACCUUUGUAAGAAAGGUGACGCACGUACGAGGUGUGUAAGGGAAAAAGAAAGAAGAUACACGCGCGAUCUCUGUCGUAACGAGAUGGAGUGGCGGCCGGUGUGUGUUAAUGAGGUAAUGAGAAUAAUGUGCAUCGUCUGGUAGGAAUAUUAACGGCGGUCCGUCCUGGAAUUUUGUACGCAAUCUGUCUGCUUUCGAAGAAAGUAUCAUUUGCAGCGAAGCCGGAGAGAAAUAAUGAGCCGCGCCGUUGAUCGAUACCUCACCGCGCCGCUAACGAUGCAAUUUCGACGAAGUUAUAAACGACCGUGGCGAUCGAUCAAUGAGAUUGAAUUUUGCAACGGUCACGUUGAAAGGAUCGACCGCCGCCAAUGAAAUAAUACCGCUCGAUAGCUUGUAAAUAUUUCGAUACCCGGGCCCGACGUGACUUUUUGCUCUUCGAACUUUUCGUACUUUUCUUCUCGCUCCUUCUCCUCUUCUCUUCGCUUCCCGACCGACGUUAGCGUGUUUUCGCUUCUCCUCUCUUCUUUCCUCUUCCACUCUCUGUCACCCUCCUCUACCUUCCUACCUCACCUUCUGGAUUUGAUUGAAUUUUUUCCCGAGGAAGAAAUGUUUCCACCAAAUGAAUCCGUCGAAAUAUUGCAUUCCGACAAGCACGAUCCAAUUUUUCGUUUAAUAAAAGAGAGCUUUUCUCUUCGCAGACCUUUCAUUUCUUUCUCACGCCUUUUCCGUAACCUUCGCAGGACCGAAGGGCAGAGUUUAACCCUCGCCGCCGAAACCUUCGAUUUUCGAUCUUCCAUUGAUCGCGUUUACACUUUUCCCCAUUCCUGCAUCUUCUCUUCCCUUAAUUCUUCUUUACUAUCUUCCUAAUUUUCUCCUCCAACAGCAACAUCUACAAAGUUCGUUACACAAGCUCGACGAGGCACAGUGCGAAGAGUUCUUCAUCUGUUUCAGCGAAUAAGCGUUCAACGAUUAAUAAAAUAUAUUUAACAGAUCUUUGCGUGGAUCGUUUCUCUCUUUGUUCGUUUUCCCCUGGACGGUCAUCGAAAGUUACGAUACUCAACGACAUUUAAUCGCGCCGGUCAGACUGCAGCUGCGACGAAAUAAUUUUUUAUUAGUCGAUUCCACGCAGCUUCUACUUUUAAUUUACCCGUACAUUUUAAUAUUGCGUAUCGUUGCUUUGUGAGCUUGUAAAUACAGCCGUCUCUCUCCGCGGCAUCGUCCCAACCUAUACGCAACUUCGCCUCUAUCCUGCGGCGUGGAGGCAAAUAUGGACGAUGGUGUGGGACGAGAGGGUUGACAGGGUGAAGGGGAGGGGUGGACCAACCGGAUAGUACUGAAUAAAUAUAAACGAUAACCAAUAAUACCUGUAAAAUUAAUAAUAAUCAUGAUCGUAUCGACGGGGCUCGUUCUUGCGGCCCUCCUCGCCGCCCAUCAAUCACAUCAAAAAUUCUGGAUUGGUCGAUACG